rnacentral:rRNA from 1 species
GUGUCAGCAGCCGCGGUAAUACGUAGGGUGCGAGCGUUGUCCGGAAUUAUUGGGCGUAAAGAGCUCGUAGGCGGCUUGUCGCGUCGGAUGUGAAAGCCCGGGGCUUAACUCCGGGUCUGCAUUCGAUACGGGCAGGCUAGAGUUCGGUAGGGGAGAUCGGAAUUCCUGGUGUAGCGGUGAAAUGCGCAGAUAUCAGGAGGAACACCGGUGGCGAAGGCGGAUCUCUGGGCCGAUACUGACGCUGAGGAGCGAAAGCGUGGGGAGCGAACAGGAUUAGAUACCCCCGUAGUCC